AUGGCGGAGCUGAUGGAACAUCGCCCCUGGGUCGGCCAGCGGGGAGCGCCGUGGUCCCCGCCGCCUCCCAACCCGCUGCUUCCCACCCUACCGCCUCCGCCUCCGUCUCUGCCUCCUUGGGGCCCUCCGUGUCUGCGCAGCUUGGCCCGAGGGUCCCGGAGGAGCAGCUGAGCGCGGGCCCUGCGCGGGCGUGGGGUGCAGCCAUGGCGGACUGUGCGGGAGCAGGCGCGGCGGGCCAGGCCUCGGGAUCGGCGGGGGGGGGGGGGUAAGUUAAGGGGGGCUCCACUGGGGCGGGCGGCCCUGUCAAUCCUGCUUCGCUGCCUCCGAGAGACCCACAGCUCAUAGCUCUCAUAGCGUGGUCUGUUUGACAGCUUCCGCCGGGACUGCCUGGCCGACAUGGACACUAAGCCAGCUUACCAGAACCUGAGGCAGAAGGUGGAUAAUUUUGUGUCAACACAUCUGGACAAACAGGAAUGGAAUCCUGCAAUGAACAAGAACCAGUUGCGAAAUGGGCUGAGGCAGAGCGUGGUUCAGUCAGGCAUGUUGGAAGCAGGAGUGGACAGGAUCAUUUCUCAAGUGGUAGACCCUAAACUAAACCACAUCUUCAGGCCACAGAUAGAGAGAGCAAUCCAUGAGUUCCUGGCUGCCCAGAAAAAAGAAGCUGUGCCAGCUCCCCCUCCAGAACCUGAAAGCCAGGAUCCUCCAGUGCCAUCCCAAGAUGCUUCCUAAGAAUAUGCCCAAUACCUUUGGAAAGCUCUAUUUAAUGAAGAAAUGGAUUCCUGUUUCAUCCGAAUAUAACUUUAGUCGACUAUGUCAUUACUGACGUCAGGAUUUUGGACUUGACUGUGGUGGUGUCCACAUUGGAUGGAGAGCAAGAU